ACACGCAUGACACACUGCAUAUCAAUAAGCGGAGGAAAAGAAACUAACAAGGAUUCCCUUAGUAACGGCGAGUGAAGCGGGAAGAGCUCAAAUUUGAAAUCUUCAAGGUUCUGACCUUGACGAAUUGUAGUUUAUAAGAAGUGUUUUCGGUUAGUAGAGUAGUCAAAAGUUCUUUGGAAUAGGACAUCAUAGAGGGUGAGAAUCCCGUAUUUGAUCAUUCUUUCCUAGCUUUGUGAUACACUUUCAACGAGUCGGAUUGUUUGGGAAUGCAGUCCAAAAUGGGUGGUAAAUUUCAUCUAAAGCUAAAUAUUGGCGAGAGACCGAUAGCGAACAAGUACCGUGAGGGAAAGAUGAAAAGAACUUUGAAAAGAGAGUUAAACAGUACGUGAAAUUGUCAAAAGGGAAGCGUUUGACACCAGUGUUGUUUUUCCGAAAAUCAAUUACGAAUGUUUUGUUUUUGAGAAGUUAUGACUUCAUCGGCUUGCUUCUCUCUUUACGAAACUUUCUUAAUGCACUUUUCGGUUAACAAGUCAACAUCAAUUUCUUUUGUUGUAAAAGGGUAAGAGGAAGGUGGCUUUACUUUCGGAGAAAGUGUUUAUAGCCUUGUACCUCUGCAAUCGGAGAGAUUGAGGUCUGCAGCGUAGAUCCUUCGGGGUUAGAUACAUUUGUGCUAAGUUAUAGCUUUUCAUUAGACAACUUGUUGACUAUGUUAAGUCUUGUAGCUUACUCGCUUAUGCUAUUUUACCUACGCUUAGGAUGUUGAGCGCAUGUCUCUCUCU
rnacentral:rRNA from 1 species